rnacentral:rRNA from 1 species
GAUAAUAAUUUAAGGUCUGACCUGCCCACUGAGUAUUAUUAAAUGGCCGCAGUAAUUUGACUGUGCGAAGGUAGCAUAAUCAUUAGUUUUUUAAUUAAAAGCUUGUAUGAAUGGUUGGACGAGAUAAAAUCUGUCUUUAGAUAAAUUUUAGAAUUUAAUUUUUAAGUUAAAAAGCUUAAAUUUUUAUAAAAGACGAGAAGACCCUAUAGAUCUUUAUAAUAUUAUAUUUAUUUUUAAUAAGGAUUAUUUUAUUAUUUAAAUUUAGUGUUAUUUUAUUGGGGUAAUAUGAAGAUUAAUUAAAUUCUUUAUUAUAUUUUUUCAAUAAUUUUUGUUUAUUUGAUCCUUAAUUUAAGAUUAAAAGAUUAAGUUACCUUAGGGAUAACAGCGUAAUUUUUUUAAAGAGUUCAUAUCGAUAAAAAAGUUUGCGACCUCGAUGUUGGAUUAAAAAUAAUUCUAGGUGUAGAAGUUUAGAUUAUUGGUCUGUUCGACCAUUAUAUUUUUACAUGAUCUGAGUUCAGACCGGUGUAAGCCAGGUCGGUUUCUAUCUUUAUUAAAUUAAUAUAUUUUAGUACGAAAGGACCAAAUAUUUAUUAUAUUUAUAUUUAUUUUUUGAAUAAUA